ensembl:snRNA Gm23645 predicted gene, 23645
GUGCUCGCUUCGGCAGCACAUACACUAAAAAUUGGAAUGAUGCAGAGAAGAUUAGCAUGACCCCUGCACAAGGAUGACACACAAAUUCGUGAAGCAUUCCAUAUUUUU